rnacentral:rRNA from 4 species
GGUGGAUGCCUUGGCACCAGGAGCCGAUGAAGGACGUGGGAGGCUGCGAUAAGCCUCGGGGAGCUGUC